UCUCUACUUGCGUAGGCAGUCUCACUAGAGUCCCCAACUGAAUGAUGGCAACUAGUGACAGGGGUUGCGCUCGUUGCAGGACUUAACCUAACACCUCACGGCACGAGCUGACGACAACCAUGCAGCACCUUGAAAAUUGUCCGAAGAAAAGUCUAUUUCUAAACCUGUCAAUUCCCAUUUAAGCCUUGGUAAGGUUCCUCGCGUAUCAUCGAAUUAAACCACAUAAUCCACCGCUUGUGCGGGCCCCCGUCAAUUCCUUUGAGUUUCAUUCUUGCGAACGUACUCCCCAGGUGGCUAACUUAUCACUUUCGCUUAGUCUCUGAAUCCGAAAACCCAAAAACGAGUUAGCAUCGUUUACGGCGUGGACUAC
rnacentral:misc_RNA from 1 species